UACGAAGGGGGCUAGCGUUGCUCGGAAUUACUGGGCGUAAAGCGCACGUAGGCGGCUUCUUAAGUCGGUGGUGAAAUCCUGGAGCUCAACUCCAGAACUGCCUUCGAUACUGGGAAGCUCGAGUUCGGGAGAGGUGAGUGGAACUGCGAGUGUAGAGGUGAAAUUCGUAGAUAUUCGCAAGAACACCAGUGGCGAAGGCGGCUCACUGGCCCGAUACUGACGCUGAGGUGCGAAAGCGUGGGGAGCAAAC
rnacentral:rRNA from 1 species